GAUUGAACGCUGGCGGCAUGCUUUCCCCAUGCAAGUCGAACGGUAACAGGCCGCAAGGUGCUGACGAGUGGCGAACGGGUGAGUAAUGCAUCGGAACGUGCCCAGUCGUGGGGGAUAACUACUCGAAAGAGUAGCUAAUACCGCAUACGAUCUAUGGAUGAAAGCGGGGGACCGUAAGGCCUCGCGCGAUUGGAGCGGCCGAUGUCAGAUUAGGUAGUUGGUGGGGUAAAGGCUCACCAAGCCAACGAUCUGUAGCUGGUCUGAGAGGACGACCAGCCACACGGGGACUGAGACACGGCCCAGGCCCCCAGGGGAGGGAGGAGGGGGGAAUUUUGGAAAAUGGGCGCAAGCCUGACCCAGCAAGGCCGCGUGGAGGAAGAAGGCCUUCGGGUUGUAAACUGCUUUUGUACGGAAAGAAACGGCUCUGGUUAAUACCCGGGGCUAAUGACGGUACCGUAAAAAUAAGCCCCGGCUAACUACGU
rnacentral:rRNA from 1 species